rnacentral:rRNA from 1 species
UACAGAGGUGGCAAGCGUUGUUCGGAAUUACUGGGCGUAAAGCGCACGUAGGCGGCUUUGUAAGUUAGAGGUGAAAGCCCGGGGCUCAACUCCGGAAUUGCCUUUAAGACUGCAUCGCUCGAAUUGUGGAGAGGUAAGUGGAAUUCCGAGUGUAGAGGUGAAAUUCGUAGAUAUUCGGAAGAACACCAGUGGCGAAGGCGACUUACUGGACACAUAUUGACGCUGAGGUGCGAAAGCGUGGGGAGCAAACAGG